CACUGAACUAUUGCUGUUUCUAUAUAGGGGAGAGUGGGGGUAAGAUGAUACAGUGGGUAAGUUGACCCACCCCCUGUUUUUUGGCAACUGUACACAUUUGUUGUUAUUUGACCUUCAAUUCAGAAAGCACCCAUUAUUUAUAUCUUACUGUGAUGGAGAGAAGCACAUGCGCUUCCAAAAUGCGGCAGAACGUUUCAUCGCAGAGCAUCCACGCUGAACCAGACGUUGAACUACAUUUCCCUACGACUGAGGGUAAAUGGGCGUGUAGAUACGGUGACCGUUUCCGCAUAAAUAGCGCCCUCUCCCGCUGUAUCAUCCUCUUUCGGCUGCUCUCCUCGCUCAGAGACUUAUCUCCACACGAUGAGAGCCAAGUGGAGGAAGAAGCGCAUGCGCAGACUGAAGCGUAAGAGGAGGAAGAUGAGGCAGAGGUCAAAGUAGACGCCCUCUCCCAGCAGCUGUUCCUGUCCUGUGUGGUGAAGCGGUGAUCGGGCCAGUCUUCAAGAAAGAAUACGGCCCAGCGCUGGAUUGACACACUGACCCUGGACCAGCAGAUGUGGAUCUCUGCGGGACGAACCAAUCUUUUAACACCAGAACCAAAGCUGUUUUUAACGCCAUAAUAAACUUUGGUUACCACAUAACUGAAUCUGUGUGAUACUUGCUCAUUCGACAAAUAAGCCCCAGUCAAGAGUUUGGCUCACGGAGAAUAAUUGCGUUUCAAUUCUAUCCAGAGCAACUUGUUGCAUUUGUCAGUAAAGUGUCUACAGUAAGGAUGCUCACAGAAAGUGCCAAGAACUUAUGGCUAUUGGCUAGGUUAACCAAUAACUAGGAGCAUGGGUACCAUUUCAAUUGAGUGACGGGACAUGCUAGAGUUCAUGUGAAGUAUAAAUCCAUCGCUCAAUUAAUCACUGGCAAGCGUUCAUGUCAAAAGCUGAUUGUAUAGUUCAGAAAAUGAAGGACUGAAAUAUAAUUACCAUACCUGACUCAUUGUAUUUGGACAAAUUGGCUGAAUAAUCAAGCACUCAAAACUACUUGUCAAUGGUCAAGGAAGUGGACGCAAUAAUUGAUUUCAGUUUAAAC
ensembl:lncRNA